UACAGAGGUGGCAAGCGUUGUUCGGAAUUACUGGGCGUAAAGGGCGCGUAGGCGGUCCGGUAAGUCGCGUGUGAAAUCCCUCGGCUCAACUGAGGAAUGGCACGGGAAACUGACGGGCUUGAGUUCGGGAGAGGGAAGCGGAAUUCCAGGUGUAGCGGUGGAAUGCGCAGAUAUCAGGAGGAACACCAAUAGCGAAGGCAGCUCGCUGGGACGUUACUGACACUGAGGCGCGAAAGCGUGGGGAGCGAACAGG
rnacentral:rRNA from 1 species